rnacentral:lncRNA from 1 species
AUACAUUUGGUCAUAGAUUCAUAAUUUAAUUAAUCAUAUAUUAUUUUCCGAUCACAUAUCAUAAUUUUUAAAUAUCACAAGUUAUUUUACAAUCACAAUUCAAAACAUUUAUAAGUCACAAUUUGUUCAUCGGUCACAGAUCGAAAAUUAAUACGUCACAAUUUAUGUAUCGAUCAGAGAUCAAAAAUAUUAUAGAUCACAACUCAUUAGAUGGUCACAAAUUAAUAUUUUUUUUAGCCCAUAUUGGUCACAAUUUAUCUUUUUCAACGGUCUCUAUUGGUCACAGAUUAAUCAAUUUAAUGGUUACAAUAAACCAAAUAUCCAGAUAAUCUGUGACCACACAAACACUUGUGACAACCUCUGCUUUCAACAGUAUCGCCGCUAGAGCCAACACCGUUACCCUACAGCAACAACGUCACGGGACAAAACCACCAUAGCAAGCACAACACCACCGGCCAUCCCUCAAUAUUGCAACCACCAGAUAGCGUCACCCAUGCCAUCCCACACACAAACCACCAUCCACAACCACCAUCGUCCUCCUCCAGCCCAAUGUUGGAACCAAAUCCUGAACUUAUCCAACAUCACCAACAACUCAACAUCACAGCCAUCACCAUCGCUGGAACACCACAGCUGUCAAAAGAAAGCACAAUCUCACCACUUUCUCGGUUAGCACCGUCGCAGUCGCCAACCAGCAAUAAUCGCCGGAGGCCAGAGUAGGAAUCCCCCUUCUUGAGCAGCCACAGAGAGUGAGAGGGAAAAGACGGGUGGGGAGAACGAGUGGAGAGAGAAUAUGAGUGGGAGAAGAGAAGAAAGGUUGGCGAGAGAGAGAGAUUAAGAUAGAGUAAAUACGAGUGUGAAAGAGAGAGAAUAGGGUGGGAGGAGAGAGAAGGGAUUGGAGAGAGAAAGAGAUUGGAGAGAUAA